AUCUAAAGUUCCCCCCAUGGAGUAGAAAACAAAUUAUUGGUGAUGAAUACCUGAUUGAGUUGGUGACUUCUUCUUUUGUCAGGAAAAAUGGCCUUGAACACUCGAGGCUUAUUCUCCAAAUAUCGAUCAAAGCAAGCCCUGGGGUUUUCAUAGAGAGGAAUAUCAGUGCUAAUUCUGCAAGUGUAAGUUGUAGCAUUAUCUAUAAUCUGAGAUUUCACAAUCAAUUGUUGGCGGAAGAAGAAUUUUCCUUUUUCAUUUAAUUUGGGGACGAAGAAAUUGU
rnacentral:misc_RNA from 1 species